GAUGAACGCUGGCGGCGUGCCUAAUACAUGCAAGUCGAGCGAACGGACGAGAAGCUUGCUUCUCUGAUGUUAGCGGCGGACGGGUGAGUAACACGUGGAUAACCUACCUAUAAGACUGGGAUAACUUCGGGAAACCGUAGCUAAUACCGGAUAAUAUUUUGAACCGCAUGGUUCAAAAGUGAAAGACGGUCUUGCUGUCACUUAUAGAUGGAUCCGCGCUGCAUUAGCUAGUUGGUAAGGUAACGGCUUACCAAGGCAACGAUGCAUAGCCGACCUGAGAGGGUGAUCGGCCACACUGGAACUGAGACACGGUCCAGACUCCUACGGGAGGCAGCAGUAGGGAAUCUUCCGCAAUGGGCGAAAGCCUGACGGCGCAACGCCGCGUGAGUGAUGAAGGUCUGCGGAUCGUAAAACUCUGUUAUUAGGGAAGAACAUAUGUGUAAGUAACUGUGCACAUCUUGACGGUACCUAAUCAGAAAGCCACGGCUAACUACGUG
rnacentral:rRNA from 1 species